rnacentral:rRNA from 1 species
AUGAAAAGAGGCGUACCUGCUUCACCAACUCCCACAAAGGGGGAGGCAUCAAGCUCAAAAAAUAUAAAGAAGGAAGAAUCUCCAAAAUAUAAGACAUAUCAAGAAUGCCUUCUAAAGGGGCUUGACGCUUUAGACAGUGAAUACAUAGAUCAAGAAAUAGAUAAAAGGUUUGAAGAAUUUUCGAAGAUAAUAAAGAAAGAAUUAAAGGAGGAAAUAUUAAAAGAAUUAAGGCAAGAAAUGGAUGAAAAAUUUGAAGAAAUAAAGAAAGAAUGUGAUGAAAAAUAUGAUUUCAAUCUCUUAAAUGAUGAUGAUCAUAUGGACAUAGCAGGGCAUGGGCAGCGGCCUGAAUAA